rnacentral:rRNA from 1 species
CUACGGGAUGCUGCAGUGGGGAAUAUUGCACAAUGGGCGCAAGCCUGAUGCAGCCAUGCCGCGUGUAUGAAGAAGGCCUUCGGGUUGUAAAGUACUUUCAGCGGGGAGGAAGGGAGUAAAGUUAAUACCUUUGCUCAUUGACGUUACCCGCAGAAGAAGCACCGGCUAACUCCGUGCCAGCAGCCGCGGUAAUACGGAGGGUGCAAGCGUUAAUCGGAAUUACUGGGCGUAAAGCGCACGCAGGCGGUUUGUUAAGUCAGAUGUGAAAUCCCCGGGCUCAACCUGGGAACUGCAUCUGAUACUGGCGAGCUGGAGUGUCGUAGAGGGGGGUAGAAUUCCAGGUGUAGCGGUGAAAUGCGUAGAGAUCUGGAGGAAUACCGGUGGCGAAGGCGGCCCCCUGGACGAAGACUGACGCUCAGGUGCGAAAGCGUGGGGAGCAAACAGGAUUAGAUACCCGGGUAGUC